UGAGUAACGAAACUCUAAGUGGCUUUGUG
rnacentral:piRNA from 1 species